AGUGAACGCUGGCGGUAGGCCUAACACAUGCAAGUCGAACGGCAGCACAGUAAGAGCUUGCUCUUACGGGUGGCGAGUGGCGGACGGGUGAGGAAUACAUCGGAAUCUACUUUUUCGUGGGGGAUAACGUAGGGAAACUUACGCUAAUACCGCAUACGACCUACGGGUGAAAGCAGUGGAUCUUCGGACCUUGCGCGAUUGAAUGAGCCUAUGUCGGAUUAGCUAGUUGGCGGGGUAAAGGCCCACCAAGGCGACGAUCCGUAGCUGGUCUGAGAGGAUGAUCAGCCACACUGGAACUGAGACACGGUCCAGACUCCUACGGGAGGCAGCAGUGGGGAAUAUUGGACAAUGGGCGCAAGCCUGAUCCAGCCAUACCGCGUGGGUGAAGAAGGCCUUCGGGUUGUAAAGCCCUUUUGUUGGGAAAGAAAAGCAGCAGGUUAAUACCCCGCUGUUCUGACGGUACCCAAAGAAUAAGCACCGGCUAACUUCGUG
rnacentral:rRNA from 1 species